rnacentral:rRNA from 1 species
CUAGCGUUGCUCGGAAUUACUGGGCGUAAAGGGAGCGUAGGCGGACAUUUAAGUCAGAGGUGAAAUCCCGGAGCUUAACUUCGGAACUGCCUUUGAUACUGGAUGUCUUGAGUGUGAGAGAGGUAUGUGGAACUCCGAGUGUAGAGGUGAAAUUCGUAGAUAUUCGGAAGAACACCAGUGGCGAAGGCGACAUACUGGCUCAUUACUGACGCUGAGGCUCGAAAGCGUGGGGAGCAAACAGGAUUAGAUACCCUGGUAGUCCACGCCGUAAACGAUGAUUGCUAGUUGUCGGGAAGCUUG